UACGUAGGGUGCGAGCGUUGUCCGGAAUUACUGGGCGUAAAGGGCUCGUAGGUGGUUUGUCGCGUCGUCUGUGAAAUUCUGGGGCUUAACUCCGGGCGUGCAGGCGAUACGGGCAUAACUUGAGUGCCGUAGGGGUAACUGGAAUUCCUGGUGUAGCGGUGAAAUGCGCAGAUAUCAGGAGGAACACCGAUGGCGAAGGCAGGUUACUGGGCAGUUACUGACGCUGAGGAGCGAAAGCAUGGGUAGCGAACAGGGAUUAGAUACCCUGGUAGUCCAUGCCGUAAACGGUAGGCGCUAGGUGUGAGGGUCUUUCUACGACUUUCGUGCCGUAGCUAACGCAUUAAGCGCCCCGCCUGGGGAGUACGGCGCAAGGCUAAAACU
rnacentral:rRNA from 1 species